GGUUUAUUUAUUUAUUUGUUUUGUAUAAAAUUAUUAUUGAAGCUUGUGAUGCCAUGUAGUAAAAACACUAAUUUCAGGUAAGUGAACAUAUUCAAGCUUGACAAAGGGAUUGGACAAAAAAACACCUAUAUAUACUGUAGCACACAUUCUUGAAGACAGGGAUCAUUUUUAAUGCAAAUGUUAACUAUAGAUAUAUAGAUAGCAUUUGUAUAAAAUACAAACGCCUACCUGCUACUUUUGUUUGGUUGGUAUGACUUUCUUUUCUUUGCAAAAAACAAUUAAAGUUUUGAAAUUUAUUUAUUAAAGUCCACAUCUUGCGCUUCGAGCGUGACAUUUUGGUGGAGGUGCAUUGCACGUUUAUUUUUACACACCAGGGAGCGCUGUGAAACAAUCCUCUUUUUUUAAAAUAUCAAACGAUAGGCGUCGCUGUUAAUCAUUUUUUUGUUCAGGCUUUGAAUUAUUUGGUGACCACAUUUUUCUCGCUGCCACUACGAGGCAGAGGCGUCAGUAUGCAGACAGAGGAACUCUUCCCUUCCCUCCAGGAUUACUCACAAACACCAGCCUCUUUCAUAUCAUGAGAUAUACUAACACACCAGCACCGGCAGUUUCACCACAUAUCAUCUUUAAGAAACGGACAUAAACUCAGUCUCAACGUGUUUGUGUUUCGAACGGGUCGAUCCGUACCCUGUUAGCCAUGUUCGAUGGAGCUUUCUAUCGGAUUAAAGUGACCGUGAAAUAAAACAGCAACAAAAAACGACUGAAUUGUGUUGGAAGGACAGUAUCCGGCCUCCGAAGAAACAACGAGGUCAGGGGAUCUGAAAAAAUUAUCUAUAUUCUAUUUCUGGCUUCUGUGAGAGGAGUGUUUAAUGGAAAAGAUGAAGAAGUUCAAACGGCGGCUUUCACUCACCCUGCGCGGGAGCCAGACCAUCGACGAGUCGCUGUCUGAGCUGGCCGAGCAAAUGACUGUGGAAGAGAACAGCAGCAAAGAUAAUGAGCCGAUUGUGAGGAACGGCAGGCCCCCCACGUCACACAGCAUGCAUGCCUUUCUCCACCAGUACACCAGCUCCUUCAAGAAACCCCCCCUGAGAAGGCCACACAGUGUGAUCGGUGGAAGCCUCAGCUCCUUCAUGCCCAUGACUAGGAAUGGAAGCAGACUGGACAUUGUACAUGAGAAUCUGAAGAUCGGCUCCGAUGGAGAAAGUGACCAGGCGUCUGGAACAUCGUCGGACGAGGUCCAGUCUCCUACGGGAGUGUGUCUGAGGAAUCGAGUGCAAAGGAGGAUCUCCAUGGAGGACCUCAACAAGCGUCUGUCGCUGCCUGCAGACAUUAGGAUACCAGACGGGUAUCUGGAGAAGCUGCAGCUGAACAGCCCACAAUUCGACCAGCCAAUGAGUAGGCGGUCUCGCAGAGCAUCACUGUCUGAAAUUGGAUUCGGAAAGCUCGAGACCUACAUCAAGUUGGACAAACUGGGAGAGGGAACUUAUGCAACUGUUUUUAAGGGUAGGAGUAAACUGACAGACAACCUGGUAGCACUAAAGGAGAUCAGACUGGAACAUGAAGAGGGAGCACCCUGCACAGCUAUCCGAGAAGUGUCGUUACUUAAAGAUCUGAAGCAUGCGAACAUCGUCACCUUACAUGAUAUCAUUCACACGGACAAAUCGUUGACACUAGUCUUUGAAUACCUGGAUAAGGAUCUGAAGCAAUACAUGGAUGACUGUGGAAACAUUAUGAGUAUGCACAAUGUAAAGAUCUUUUUAUUUCAAAUUUUACGAGGUUUGGCUUACUGUCAUAGGAGGAAAGUUUUACAUCGAGACCUGAAGCCACAGAACUUGCUCAUUAAUGAGAGAGGGGAACUAAAAUUAGCUGACUUUGGAUUAGCAAGAGCCAAGUCAGUCCCUACAAAGACCUACUCCAAUGAGGUUGUCACGUUAUGGUACAGACCCCCUGAUGUUCUCUUGGGAUCUUCAGAGUAUUCCACCCAGAUUGACAUGUGGGGAGUGGGCUGUAUAUUUUACGAAAUGGCUGCCGGAAGGCCUCUGUUCCCUGGUUCAACAGUAGAAGAUGAAUUGCACUUAAUUUUUAGGCUUUUAGGCACUCCAUCAGAAGACAACUGGCCAGGGAUUUCGUCCAUUGAAGAAUUUAAAUCAUACAACUUUCCCAAAUAUAAACCACAGCCUUUGAUUAACCACGCACCCAGAUUGGAUUCUGAAGGAAUUGAACUGGUCUUAAUGUUUUUGAAAUAUGAAUCUAAGAAGCGAAUCUCUGCAGAUGAGUCAAUGAAACAAGCCUACUUCAAAAGCCUUGGAACACGGGUACACACCUUGCCUGAGACCAUCAUGAACCGAAAUGUUGAUGUAUCUGGGAAAACCAUUUCUCCAUACAAACUGGCGUGUCAAUAUUUACUCUGAAGGAAAUCCAGCUACAGAAGGACCCAGGCUUUCGAAGUUCAUCAUACCCAGAAACAGGACCUGGCAAAAACAGAAGACAGAGUAUGCUCUUUUAGACUCUUUGAUAACACAGUUUAGUAUACAUGACCUUUUUCUGUUUAUCUAAACCAACCAAGCAACCAUCCAGUCAAGGACUUAUUUGAAGGCAUCUCCUUGUGAUCAGUAGCGUGGACAUCUUGGCAAGACUUCUCUGCAUCAACACUGCCCUUUUUACAAAGGUGUCUCAUUUCCUGUCAGGCAUGUGAACUGUGUUUUAUACUCACCUGUCACAGUGUGACAUUAUUUUGUACAGAUGGUUUUAAGGUUCUCCUCUGCUGUUAGAGCCAGUGAGGUUAUAGCUGCUGCAGUUAUUGAGCAGGACUAAAACACAGUGUGUUAUUUAUUGUGGAAACAUUUGCUGCUAAACCACUACUGUCUAUAUUUAACACGUUGGAAUAGCUGAAGACGUUGCAGUGGCUUUUAUCAUGUGAACUGGUUUGUCUCUUCUCUGCGACCUGUGUUGAAUUGUUGAAAUUUUGUACUUUUUUUUUGGGGGGGGGGGGUGUUUUUUAAAUUCUAGUGUCAGCAUUGCUUGGCUACAGAAAGUGAAUUCAUGGACCAUGCCUACCAACCUUCCUUCUGUACUUGGCACACACAUGUGUAUGAAUCCUAAUUUUUUCUUCAGUUUUCUUCAUACAUGCAGUUUUCAUUUGAAUGAAUGUAUGGAUGUAUUCUAAAUGGAAACAGUGCUCUAUAUCCAGAAAGUGUUGGUCUUCUGAUAGGGUUCAACUGCAUUUUGAUCAACAAGUAUGUGUAUUUAUUUAAGUAAUUAGGGAGAUUUUCACAAAAAAAAACUAACAGUAGGUCUCAAACCAUAAAAAUACCUAGAUUUUAUUUAGGGAAACCCCUGAGAAACAAUUAAAUAAGAAACUCCCCAUGCUUGGUUUUACAUCAUUCCAAUAUUUUUGCACCUUUCCUAAACAGGUGAAGCACACAGUUUAAGAAUACACUGGAACAUGGUAAUAACAAUGGGUAUCAAGAUUGAGUAUGACAAGAUGUGAUCAGCUUACUUAAUUAACCUCUAUAGAAGAGAAUGAGAUGUACCUUUCUGAACUGUUGCAUGUCAUUUCUUCUUCAUUUUGUAAUAAUUUCCCUACCUUGCUAAUGCAACUCGGUGAGUAUUAAGUACGCCUUGGCAGCAGUAAUUUGUAUGCAUUUAUUUGCCUUUAAGAAUUGAAUUGUUUAGUGCAUCUGAAAUGUCUGAUCACUUAUAGGGAUAAACACAGUUUUGAGAGUUCAUUUCUAGCAUUCACUGUAAACGCAUUCAGGGGUCCUACCAUUUCUGCUUAUGAAUAUAAAACCAUGUAGUUAUUUAACAGUAUUAAGAGAAUGUUGUAUGUUACAUUUUAACUUUAUUUGUGAAUUGUGAUCGUGGCAUGUUGGGGUAAAUGUGUUUUAUUAGUAUAUUGUGUUUUUUUGCUAAAAACAAAGGUUUCAAUUGGAAUUUUGCUAAAAAACAAAACAAACAAAAAAAACAGUUUAUUGUGUAAUGAUAUGCAUUGGACCACUACUCUUUUUCAGCAUUUGUAUAUGUAAAAAAAAAAACAAAAAAAAAAGAUUUCAAAUUGAAAUUGUAGGCUUAACAAACUGCUGUGAUGUUUGACAGUAAUGUAUUAAUAUUGUACUUUUUUCAAGUAUAAAAACUACAUGAUCUUACCA